GUGGAAAGUGGAUCAGUAGAGCUGACAGUCCAAAGAGGGAGACAAGAAGGAGGCCGGGAAUGCAGCCUUGGUGUGGAUACAGACCCCGUCUAGACGCUGCAAUUGCUCCUAAGGCCACGGCUGGAGUGUGCCGAGGAAGAGAAACCCAGGCCGUCACAUCUGGCUUGUCACCAAGUUGUCACUUCCAGCGGCACAGGCAGGAGAGGCUGCUGAAGGAGGCCACGACGUUAGCCUGCUGAGAAUCCGGAGGGCAGUGAACAUGCCUGCAAGGCCUGGUAAAAUGGGCUUUUGGUGAUACUAUUUGAUAAAAUGUCCUUGUUUGAUAAAGCACCUAUAUAAUGAAGUUAAGUACCGAAUUAAUACCCAAAUCCAUCCUAAUCCAAAUCCAAUUACUCAUUCCUGCGUGCAUGUGUGCAUGUAUGUGUAUGCGUAUUUCCAUAUAGAGGAUUAUGUUAUCAUCACCCCAUCCCAAUACACACAGACAAUGGCCAGGACAGCCUGAUCCAUGUGAGCAGUGAGUGUGGGCUCUUUGCUCUUCUAAUGAUCUAUGACCUGACCCCAAGGUCCCCUCAUGUACACUCCCUUCUGACUCAGCCGUGGAUCUGAGUUUAAUAAAAUGUACCACAUAGUGUGUUACUAAAGUAUUAAGUGUAACUUUUAUCCUGGACAUCUUUUUCC
rnacentral:lncRNA from 1 species